rnacentral:rRNA from 1 species
GUGAAGCCGCGAAUAGCUCAUUACAACAGCCGUUGUUUCUUGGAUCUCUUCUCUACUUGGAUAACUGUGGUAAUUCUAGAGCUAAUACAUGCAACCAAGCUCCGAUCGUGAGUGACGAGCGCUUUUAUUAGACCAAAACCAUCCGGCCUCUGGCCGUUCUUUGGUGACUCUGAAUAACCUAGCAGAUCGCAUGGGCUUGUCCCGGCGACAAAUCUUUCAAGUGUCUGCCUUAUCAACUUUCGAUGGUAGUUUAUGUGACUACCAUGGUUGUGACGGGUAACGGAGGAUCAGGGUCUGACUCCGGAGAGGGAGCCUGAGAAACGGCUACCACUUCUAAGGAAGGCAGCAGGCGCGCAAAUUACCCAUUCUCAGAACGAGGAGGUAGUGACGAAAAAUACCAAGGUGAGGCUCAUUGAGUUUCGCCAUUGGAAUGAGUACAAUCUAAAUCUUUUAACGAGGAUCUAGUGGAGGGCAAGUCUGGUGCCAGCAGCCGCGGUAAUUCCAGCUCCGCAAGUGUAUUCCUAUACUGUUGCGGUUAAAAAGCUCGUAGUUGGAUCUGAGUGUUUAGCGCUUGGUGCAGUUCUGCUGUUACUGAGUGCGGCACAUAAUCGCCAAUUGGUUGCCAUUGUUUCCUUAACUGGUGAUGGUGGUUGACUGUUGGCAUGUUUACUUUGAACAAAUCAGAGUGCUCAAUACGGGCGUUUCGCUUGUAUGGUCUUGCAUGGAAUAAUAGAAUAGGACCUUGGUUCUAUUUUGUUGGUUUUCGGAAUUGAGGUAAUGAUUAAGAGGGACAGACGGGGGCAUUUGUACUGCAACGUGAGAGGUGAAAUUCUUGGAUCGUUGCAAGACAAACUACUGCGAAAGCAUUUGCCAAGAAUGUUUUCAUUAAUCAAGAACGAAAGUAAUGGGUUCGACGGCAUAUUCAAUU